rnacentral:rRNA from 1 species
AGUUCGAUCAUGGCUCAGAUUGAACGCUGGCGGGAUGCUACACAUGCAAGUCGAACGGCAGCACGGACUUCGGUCUGGUGGCGAGUGGCGAACGGGUGAGUAAUGUAUCAGGACGUGCCCUAGUAGCGGGGGAUAACUACGCGAAAGCGUAGCUAAUACGCGCCGGCGCCCUUCCCAGGAAAGCGGGGGACCUUCGGGCCUCGCACUAUUAGAAACGGCCGAUAUCGGAUUAGCUAGUUGGUGGGGUAACGGCUCACCAAGGCGACGAUCCGUAGCUGGUUUGAGAGGACGACCAGCCACACUGGGACUGAGACACAGCCCAGACUCCUACGAGGAGGCAGCAGUGGGGAAUUUUGGACAAUGGAAACCCUGAUCCAGCCAUCCCGCGUGUGCGAUGAAGGCCUUCGGGUUGUAAAGCACUUUUGGCAGGAAAGAAACGGCACGGGAUAAUACCCCGUGCAACUGACGGUACCUGCAGAAUAAACACCGGCUAACUACGUGCCAGCAGCCGCGGUAAUACGUAGAGAUUGCAAGCGUUAAUCGGAAUUACUGGGCGUAAAGCGUGCGCAGGCGGUUCGGAAAGAAGAUGUGAAAUCCCAGGCUUAACUUUGGAACUGCAUUUUUAACUACCGGCUAAGAGUGUGUCGGAGGAGGUGGAAUUCCGCGAUGUAGCAGUGAAAUGCGUAGAUAUGCCGGAGGAGGAACACCGAUGGCGAAGGCAGCCUCCUGGGAUAUGACGCUCAUGCACGAAAGCGUAGAGGAGCAAACAGGAUUAGAUACCCUGGUAGUCCACGCCCUAAACGAUGUCAACUAGCUGUUGGGGCCUUCGGGCCUUGGUAGCGCAGCUAACGCGUGAAGUUGACCGCCUGGGGAGUACGGUCGCAAGAUUAAAGCUCCAAAGGAAUUGACGGGGACCCGCACAAGCGGUGGAUGAUGUGGAUUAAUUCGAUGCAACGCGAAAAACCUUACCUACCCUUGACAUGUCUGGAAUCCCGAAGAGAUUUGGGAGUGCUCGCAAGAGAACCGGAACACAGGUGCUGCAUGGCUGUCGUCAGCUCGUGUCGUGAGAUGUUGGGUUAAGUCCGCAACGAGCGCAACCCUUAUCGUGGAUUGCUACGAAGGGCACUCUAAUGAGACUGCCGGUGACAAACCGGAGGAAGGUGGGGAUGACGUCAAGUCCUCAUAGCCCUUAUGGGUAAGGAUUCACACGUCCUUAAUGGUCGGGACAGAGGGUCGCCAACCGCGAAGGGGAGCCAAUCCCAGAAACCCGAUCGUGGUCGGAUCGCAGUCUGCGCUCGACUGCGUGAAGUCGGAAUCGCUAAUCGCGGAUCAGCAUGUCGCGGUGAAUACGUUCCCGGGUCUUGUACACACCGCCCGUCACACCAUGGGAGUGGGUUUUACCAGAAGUAGUUAGCCUAACCGUAAAGGAGGGCGAUUACCACGGUAGGAUUCAUGACUGAGGUGAAGUCGUAACUAAGGCAG